AUAUAGUAGGGAUAGAAUACUUGUAAAAGUAUUAUGGGGAUGAUAAUUGUGUGUUUUUAGUCCUUGGAUGGAGAGAUGUGAGGUUGAGAUGAUGGUGGUAGUGGUGGUAGUGGAAUAGUGUUAAUUCAAGGCUAUUAAUAAUCAAAAAGUAAAUCCAAUAGCUUAAAACCUAAUAGCACCAUGAUGGUGAUACUUGUAAAAGUAUCAUAGCUCAACUCUCUCUCUCUCU
rnacentral:lncRNA from 1 species